UACGUAGGCAGCAAGCGUUGUUCGGAGUUACUGGGCGUAAAGGGUGCGUAGGCGGCUUUUUAAGUUUGGUGUGAAAUCUCCUGGCUCAACUGGGAGCUUGCAGGCGAAACUGCCCGUGCUGGAGUGUGGGAGAGGUGCGUGGAAUUCCUGGUGUAGCGGUGAAAUGCGUAGAUAUCAGGAGGAACAACCUGUGGCGAAAGCGGCGCACUGGACCACAACUGACGCUGACGGCGCGAAAGCUAGGGGAGCAAACAGG
rnacentral:rRNA from 1 species